GCACAAUAACUCUUUUCACACCAUAAACAUAUUGCUUUACCCGUUUCAACCCCAAAGUCAUCAUAAAAUUUUUUGAAAUGACUCCAAACUCUAAACUUCAACUUAUUACCUACACUAGCAGGAUGAUAAGGAAUAUCAAUUGCACCUUCAUCAGGAGAUCCAAUAUCAAGAGAUGUUGGUGCAGUUUGUUGGCUUUUUAGUGGUGAGCUCAUAUUCUCGUGUGGUGUUGUCAUAUUUCCUGAAUUGAAGGAAACUUUUGGAGCUUUAAAUGUAUUACCAGGAAGAGGAGCAUCAUUACAGUGCUUUCUUUUUGACAUUUUUCAAUUUCGAUAUCAAGAUCAUAAAUACUAGUUUAAUAUUAAAAAAUAAACCAUAAAAUAAAAUUAAUUAAUUAAUAAAACUGAGAAUAUAUAAAGGCAUGAGCAUUAAAUAUAAAAAUAUAAAAAACAAUACUAUUAAUAUUAUCCUACUUUUUUCAGCCAGCCUAAAAAAACAAAUUAAUGAAAAUUGUUGUUAAUUUACAAAUAAAUUAAUAAGCUAAAAGAAGGUAAAAAAAAACCCAUAAUGAAAUAUUGUCAAUGCAAAAAAGAAUUUAAUUAAUCACAUAAUAUAUAGACAAUGGACCGGCUUCACUCUUUAUACUUAACUGUUAAAAUCAAUUUUAGUUUUCUCUUCCGAAUGAAGUUCACAAUUGAAAAAAAAAAAAGACAGAGAAUCGCCACAAGCUAUUAGAGAAGAUAAAAAAGAAUGUGUAAGUGUAAUUUUCAAUUUCACUAUGGUUUUUAUAUUUUUUUCAACUGGAAAAGUUGACUACUAUUUUUUACUAGACCAAACAAUUUUACCAAAAUAUUCAUAAGCAAAGCAAAAAAAUAUUUCUACAUAAUUCAUUCUGUAUAAAAGAUACUAAACGUUAUAAACUUUUAAUAUUUUGGAAAUAGUAUUUUCAUAUAUACCAAACAUGAAAAAUUGAGAUUUUAUCUUAUUGAAUUCUAAAAAUUAUAUGGUUUUGAGAACAUGAGAAAUAACUAAAUAGAAUAAAAUUGAAUUGAAUUCUUGUAUUUUUCUUUGAGUUUCCAAAUACUUUCUUAAAGAUAAUGGUGACCAUAUAUAUAUAUAUAUAUAUAUAUAUAUAUUAAUCCAAAAAUAUAAUUGAAAAUAAGGAUAAAAAAAUGAAAUAAAGAUAUAUAGUAAAAGUUGCAAAACGAAUUUACAGGUGCAGGAGAUGGUCAAUGAGCUAGUUCACAAGAAUCCACUAUGAAAGAAAGAACUAAGAUAAUGAAUAAGAAGACCAUUGUUUUGUUGUGGAUUUUGAUCUUUCUUCCAUUUUUGCAAGAUUUUAGAACUGUGUUACCUCUUUUUAAUUGCGUAAGUACAUCAAUUAAUUUAUAUAUGAUGAUUUGAUUGCAAUUGAAAUGGUCUUGUUAAAAGAACAAGCAAAGAAUGCAUGAGAGAUUUAAGAUUUAAUAACCAGCAAAGAGUGCAAAGAAUUGGUCUUGUUUUAGCUCUUUUUUAUGCGGUUAAGAUUAUAAAUGAUCAAGAUUCCUUUGUAGCUUGGUAAUUAUUGUUGUACAAACCCAAGUUAUAACAAAUGAUUUGCAGCAGAUAAGUAAUACAUCUAUGUUGGUUGUUGAGUACAUUGGUGAAUUCCCAUAUGAGCAAAUCUUGUCAACUAAGAGAUUUUGUAAUACUAUCAUAGUUAGAUGGUGAAUAUCAUAUGUUGGCUCAAAGGUUAAUUUUAUCUUGAGAUUUUGAUGAUUAUACGAGACAAAUAAAUUUAAUAUUCUUGUAUAUGCUAAUAUUAUUUUAUACAAAUUUUUUUUAAAUAUGGAAAUUAUUGAAGAAAUGAAGUUCUUACAACCCAAGAUUUUUAUUUAAGACCAUGAAGUUUAAUGAAGAUAUUUUCUAUUGGUUAGUAUUAUAAUAAGUCUUAGGAAAUUAUUGCAGGAUAGAGAGUAAAUAAUUUUAUAAGCAAAAAUCUAUUUUAUCUCUCUCAAAAUUGUUUUAAAGUAUUUUUGAAUAAAUUUAUUAAAAGCAUAUAGCCAAAAAUCUUUACUCUUCACAUUUUCCCAUCUAAAAUAUCUUUGGAGUAAAUAUCCUUGGUGGCUAUUAAAUGAAAUUCUGCAAAAAGUUGUUUCUGAUCUAAAAAGUAUUUUUCUGAUUUAUCACAGCUGUCUGUUUCUAAUACAGCUGGCUGUUUCUGCUCUAAAAGUUACACUGUUUUCUAAACUAAACCUUUCACCUCCAAACCUUGCAUGUGUGAGUACUAAAAUUGGUCUGAUAACCCUUUUAAUUGUAACCCAUGCAUUGUCUCUUUUAGUUUAAAAAUGUUAGAAAUUUCAUUGCUCAUUAAAGCAAAAAAAUCUCAACGUUAACUUCUAAGAGAUUAUCAUCUUUUCAUAUAAAAAACCUUUUCUCUUUUAAAAAGAAGGGGUUUUGGCAAAGAGUAUGAGUCCAUUGUUCAAAGUUUAAAUCUCUCAAAACUCUCUCUUCAACCCUCCUAUUUCUUUUCAUCUUUUUGCUUCAAGAAAAAUUUUUAAGAGAAAAGAAAAUUUUAUAACAACAUUUUUUGAAGAACAGUUCUGAUUUUUAAAUCUAUUUUCUAAAUCCGUUUUCUGUUCUUCCUGUGCUUAUAUUUGCAUUUCUCUCUGUCUAUAUAAAUUUUGUAAUCUGUUAUAGACAUACUCUUUAUUUGAAAAACUUUUGUAAUAGCUUAGGUGAAAAGUUAUGGUGUAAUAGGUUAUCAAGCGACCUUCUCCUUGUUUCUGUUCUCUGCAAAAACAGAAAGGGUUGAGGUUGAUUAGAACCUUUAGAAAAUUUAAUGGGACAAAGGUUACAUCUAGGUGUUGAUCUAUUUCCUUGUAUUGUUGGUUUGUCUCUUACCCUUGAAAAGAGAUAAUAUAGUGGAGGAUCUCAAGGAGUGGAUGUAGGCGAGUUAGUGCGAACCACUAUAAAUCUCUGUUUUUAUCUUCUUUUAUUUUUUGAAGUUCUGCUUGAUUAUGUUUGAUUUACACAACUAUUAAUCUGUUCUAAAAUGCAAAGUUUUUGAUGAGUUUCUGAUUCUAAACGUGAAUAAGCUUCAUCUCUAUGGAACAUUAGAACUCUAGAUUUAUGUAUUGUGAAUAUACCAAGUUCCAAUCUGCCUUUCGAUAUUCAGUGUAAAUCACAAUAUAUGUAAUAAUUAGUUUUUCUAAUCUUGCUACAAGCUUUGUGAACCAGUUCUAAAAUGCAAUAACUGUUUUUCACAGAAUCUUUUUAAAAUAGCAAUAAGCUUUGUGAAGCUGUUAUAAUCGCAAUAGUUGUUCUUCACAGAGUCUUUAUAAACUUGCUUAAGAUUUGUGAAGUAGUUCUAAAUGCAAUAACUAUUUUUCACAGAGUUAUUCUAAAAUUGCUUAAGCUUUGUGAAGCAGUUCUAAAUGCAAUAACUAUCCUUCACAGAGUUAUUCUUUGUGAAGCAGUUCCAAAUGCAAUAAUUGUUCUUCACAGAGUCUUUCUAAUCUUGUAAUAAGCUUUGUGAGGAAGUUAUAAACUUGAUAACUAACUCUCACAAAUGCUUUCUAAUUCCGCUGUAAUAGAAUUCUGAUUAUUUUUGAAAGUUAAAUGUUAAAUUUUUAGAAAAUCCAAUUCACCCCCCCCCCUCUUGGGUUGUGCCAUACAUAAUCGGGACCCACAUCAUAUAUAGUUAAAGUAAAAGAAAUAUUCCUACAUGUUUCACUCUAGUGUUUGUUUUCUUUUUCAGUUAAAUCUCUUAGAUUUACACUGCACUUGCAUUUAAAAUAUUUGAUUAAAUAUCUAAAUCCAAGUUUACUCUAUAAAUGUCAUGUCUAAAAUUCUCUUCAUAAUUCAUAUUCUUUUCUUCAUAUACAAAAACUUCCAAAUAUCAUAUCAUAAAAAACAAACAAACUAAAAUUAAUGAUGCAAAUACCAACAAACUGAAUUGUUGGAAUUUCAACCGCCCAAUUAACCAAAACAAAUAAAUAAAUAUAAAAUAGAAAUAAAGGAAAAAAAUGGAACCUUCAAUAAAUUGUUGCUUCCCUUUUUUUUUUCCUAUUUGCUAUCUUUUUCCUUUAGUGUCUGUGUUUAGUUUUUACUCUCUGCGAUCUAUCUUUUCCCUUUUAGCGUCUAUUUUAGUUUACUCUCUGCUCCCUAUCUUUUUCCUUUUAGCGUCUGUUUUAGUUUUACUCUCUGACUUUCAACUUUGAAAAUCUAUCAAAAGGAUAGGAAGUUGUUUAGAUCCAAACAACUUCUUUUUUAAAAUAAUUUUCUGGAUUUAUUUUAUGUGAUAUACAAAAAAAUCAAACUUUGUAAUUUUGAUUAUAAUUUUAUAACAACGAAUGGGUUGGGAAUUCCCGUUUUCAGGAUGGAACGGGACGAGACAAAAUUUCAGGUCGGUACAAAACAGUUCUAGUCAAAGAACCAGUCCCACCCCAAAAUUACAUUUGGGACAGGACUAUUAAAUUUAUGUCGAGUUUUUUUCGGGACAGGAAAUUCGGGAUGAUUUUUCAGGGACGGGUUGGGAUUCCUGCAGUCCCGUGCACACCCCUAACAUACAAAGGGUGGAGUCAACAGAUGAUAGCUUCUCUUUGAAUUCACCUAAUGUUUAUUAUUACAAAAGGAAGACACGAAAAAAACCCCUCUUAAAUCACCUACUUGUAAAGGAGUUUGGACUAACUUUGCCACAAGGAGGGUUAUACUCAAUGUAUGCAAACUGAAUUCGAUUAUAUAACUCUUGCUAGAAUUAUUGAGAAUUGGUUAUAAUAUGUUUGAUUUCAUCUAUAUUGCAGCCUGGUACUACAGUUGAGCAUACAUUUGAUACUGGAUCAAGAAAGGGGAGCAAAAGGGUGGGUAAUAUGCCUGAACCUAGUUUCAUCACAUAUAAGGUUAAUGGUUUCACUAAGAUCUCAGCUACAUGUGGCAUUUUAUGAUUCAUUACUUUGAGAACUUCUCUUUGAUCAUCAUUAUGCACUAAAUUUGUGGGAUUGAUUCAUUUAUGGUUCAUUACUAGGCUCAAAAAAAUAAAAAACAACAAGCAUAAAAAUGAAAUGCAAAGAGUAAAGCAAAGAAAGUAAAAAGUGUAGACAUGUUGGAGAUAGCACCUUCAUAACCAAAUAAGACACGUAGGUCAGUCCAAUGCAAUUAAGCUUCCAUGGAUGAUGCAAUGCCAAUGCAACAAUCUGGAACAACAAAGAUUUAAGGAGAUGAUGCACAUGAUAUUUAUUAGAAGUUGAAAGGGUAGAGGUGAACUAGGUGAGAGGUUAGAACCCAUGAGGUGAAAAUAUAUGAUAUGGGCUUACUUAGGCUUGGGCCAACCAAUGCUAAAAGAUUAGUACUAACCCAUUAGUUAGUUAGCUUGCCACCCUUAUAUGCCCUUUGCGGGUUUGCUAUUUAGUCAAUGUGGGUUUCUUAACACUCCCCCUCAAUUGCAACUAGGAGGUCCGAUUGACACUUGACACUUGAAUCCUCCCUUUGAAAUUGAACUGGGCUUUUUACCCUUUGAAAUUGAAUGGGACUCGCUGGGGACUGGACAUAUAGACGGGAGCCCGAAUUGAAACGUAGCGACAACACUAGUGAACUGAGGAAUAACUGAACUGGGCCAAACCUGCUCUAAUACCAUAUUAGAAGUUGAAAGGUGUGAGCCCCCUUCCAAGUGCCAUGGGAAAGAUCUGAAGGAUGGAGUCAAUCAAGACGAGCCCAUUGGUCGGUUCGUCAAGGAAACUGGAGGAACUCCUUACGGUUCUUUUUUUGUUUUGUUUAGAUUGAUUGUGGCUCGGUUUAGCGCUUUGACAAGUGUGUGAUGUGAUAGAGCUGCCACCUUAGUUUGUUUUUGUUUUUGGGGAAAAGAUUAAGAAAAAAACUCUGUGUUGGACUCCAUUUUCAGUUUGACUUAAGGAUAAAAUGCACUAGCCUCGAAUCAUUAGGUUCGGGGACUAGGUUUUCAGCUUCUUUUGAAAUGAAUCAACAGUUUGGAUCAUAAUUGAAAAAUCAAAAUCAGAGUUUUGCAUGAAUAUCAGUAUUAUCAAUGCAUGAUCAUACUAAUAAUGCAUGGCAAUAUUGGAAAUAUAGUGCAUUAAAAGUAAAUAAAAGUGUGUAAUUUGGAGGGGAGCCCGACUCUAGCCUCGUUUAUCAAGGAUUCUAGGUCGUGCAACACAUUUCCCUAAGUCCUGACCAGUCAGUUCAGUCGGGGGCCCGCUAGCUAGCCUAAAAUUCAUAGGUAUGCCUUCGUACCUCAUUUGUAUGAGGAUUGGGGCGCACGAAGUUCUACCUUUGUAUUAGGAUGGUAGGGUCUCAAAGCUGCCACUCAGUGAGUGGGCUUAUAAGGUGUCGGACAGACCAAGCUUGAUAGUUUAUAAGGUGCCAGACGGACCAGUCUUAAUUGACAAACUCUAAGUUUAGUGAUAUACCCUAAUGCUAGUAAUUCGACUGGAUCAGAGCUACGUGAUUGUAACGACCAAGGAGGUCGAAUCCUUCUCCAAGUAAAGCUUAGAUAGGGCACGAGGACCCGAUUUAUAGUCUUAUAUUAUACUAAUAUUAAUUAAUGAAUUAUUAAUUAAUUCUUAAAUUAAUUAAUAAUAUAUUAAUUAACUAAUAGCUUUGGUCUAAGGAAGACCAAAGUGUAAGUGAAAGUCGAAAGGAUCGACUUUUGAGUGCCAAGUCGGGCGUUAAACUCAACUAAAGAAGAAGAGUAAGGUCAGAUUAUAUUGCCUUAGAAUCGUAAAAGGGAGAAUGAGAAUCGUUGAAGCGUGAGAAGCGCUCAAUUAAACAACAAGAGGUGCUUAAAAUGAUGCGGGAAGUGCCAUAUUUAUAGGCCGAGGGGUGCUGAGUCAGGGGCACGUUGGUACCGAAGUCCCCUUUUCCAGUAUCGAAGGGCACCUUUUAGGUACCGAUUAGGGCCUUCCGUGCAUGCCAUUUCGGUAAUGAAUUAGGGGUGAUUGGCUCUGGUAAGGAGUUUUUUUGGCGCCGAUGGAGGCAAAUUACCGUCCCCUGCCCUUUUAUUUUAGGGUUUUCAAGAUUUCAGAGGUCCGUUCGAGGUCCAAACGACGUCCAAUCGAGCUGAUUCUUCGGCCGUUGGAACCGUAGCAAAAUUUCUUAAAGCCUGGUGUUGAAAUCACUGUCAAAAAAAGGGUAGAGGUGAACUAGGUGAGAGUUUAAAUCCUAUGAGGUGAAAAUAUAUGUUGUGGGCUUACUUUGGCUUAGGCCAACCAAUGCUAAAAUAUUAGUACUAACCCAUUAGCUAACUAGCUUGCCACCCUUAUAUGCCCUUCAUAGGUUUGCUAUUUAGUCGAUGUGGGUUUCUUAAUAAUAUUGAACCGAUUUUGGUGCUAUUUUUGUAAUCCAAUACACUUUAAUUGGGAAGAUUUGUCUUAGGCAAUAUGAAUUCUAUUUCUGUGUAUGUUACUUUGGCCAUAUGAGUCAUAAUAGAAAUAUUCCCAAUUGCUAAGUAUUAGAUUAUCCUCUUUUAUCAUUGUGUUAUUUGUCUUAUUAGAAUGUAGUAGCAAGGAAAAAUUGUUUAUCCUUUAAUUUCAAUUUAAAUGAAUUCUUACAUCUUAAGUGCAAAUUCAUUUCAAGUUAUGUGGUAUUUCUUAAUCUUACUAUUUUAUGUUCCAAUUCCAAUCAUAAAAAUGAACAGCCAUAUUACACCAACUUACAGAAUUAAAGUAACAAUCAUCAUUUAGGACUUUCAUUAAGGAUGUAGAAUGCAAUUGGAAAAGACAUUAUCUAUUAAAGUGUAAUAAGUCAUACAUUAGCAUACAAUACAUAAAAUCCACAAAUCCUACAAACUGCAUAUUCCGUGGAUUCCCUUUCCAUCACCCACUUUCCUACGUUAUAAAAAAGAAAAACCAAUAUAAUGCAUUCAAGACAGAGUCACUAGCUUCCAAACAAGGUUGUUGCAGCCAAAUUGCUUCUCAUCUUCAUAUUAACCUAAAAAUAAUAGCCAAAGAUGCCACAAGCCAUAACCACAAUAACUUCUCCCUUCGCCAACUCCUCUCCAACUCAAUCUCAAGAUCAUUCCCCUUCUUCAAAAGCCUAGGAAUGAUUCUCUUUGCUCUAUUACAAAUUAACGGAUCGACCCACUCAAAGUAAGAACGUCCUUGGUUACAAUUAACCUAAAAAAGCUAUCAAUUUCACAUCUUUAAAAAGCAAAAACCCAUUAACAUAAAAAAUUUCAAACCCAUACUCACCAGACAUAGCUCACAAGCAAUAAAUCUUCAACCUGGAUUCCACUCAGUCCAUGAGGUUCGCUCCCAACAUUGGUAGCCACAUUUGCAAAAUUGAAGUUCCAUUAUGCUGCUAUUCCUUCUCCUAUUUACUCAUUGUUGUCGAUGGUGGUUUUCAUAUUACAAUGAAAUUAGCCAAAACGUUUAUUGUUUAGUGAGGGAAUUGAAUAAGGAUAUUUAAGUCUUUUGCCUUCAUUUGCCACAUCAUCUAGGGUUUUUUCCUAAGUCAGCAAUUAGUUGUAAGACAUGAAGGAUGUUAAUCGUACAUUUGUGGACCACACUGCUUGUUGAGUAAUGAUUCUGACUACUAGAUCAUCACAUGCACUUAAUUCGCUUUUCUAAAAAGUUCAAACACCUAAUUGCAAAGAUUUUCUGUUCAUACAUCAUAUUGCGAAAAAAAUUGAAAGUUCAUGUACCAAAAAUAUCAUUUAUCCUUUUUUUAUUCAUAUUCAUUUUUUUUCAAGUCAAGUAUUGUUAUUACUUAAUUAACAUAUAUAAGUAUAGUUAAUAAGUUUCUUGUGAAACCUUUUUAUAUUGAAAUUUCAUGCACCAAAAAUAUCAUUUAUCCUUUUUUUAUUCAUAUUCAUUUUUUCAAGUCAAGUAUUAUUAUUACUUAAUUAAUGAAUAUAGGUAUAGUUAUUGAUUUUUUCUUUUUCCCUUAUGCUUCAAAAUGUUAUUGUUUGAGAGACAAGUCCAAUAAUCAAAUAUCUAGUUUAUUGAUGUUAUAAUAACAUCUCUAUAUUAUUUCUUUCUUUUUAUAUAUGUUUCAUAUAUAUAUAUAUAUAUAUAUAUAUAUAUAUAUAUAUAUACACACACACUUUAUUUAUAUUUUAUUUGUAGGUCAAAUGGCUUCUACGAAUAAGGGUGCUGGAAGGAUUGUUUAGACUAAUGAACAAUUUAAUUUAUUUGUUGAUAUUUAUUCUUAAGGCACUACAAUCGGUAAAAGAAAUGGUGGUGGAUAGGGUGACAAAGGAUGGUUAUAGGUAGAAAAAUAAAAUGAAAGAUGCUAUAUUACAAUUUACUAAAGAAGAGUUAAAACACAAAUGGGAUUGGAUGAAAGGUUAAUGGAAGUUAUGGAAAGAUUUAAGAGGAAAGGAAACUGGAUUAGGUUGGAAUUCAAGUAAAGGUACAAUUGCAGCUUCUAAUGAGUGGUGGAAUGAAAAAAAGUAAGUUGCAUAUACGUGACUAUUCUAUAUAUAUAUAAAAUAACAUAUUUAUUCACUUUAACACUCAAGUUAUUUAUGAUUGAUUUUUUAUUUAUUUAUGUUUUAGAAAAAUCCAAGUUUUGCAAGAUUUCGUGAAAAAGACAUUGAGAAUGAGCUUUAUGAAAAAUAUGAAAUCAUAUUUUUAGAAACUGUGGCUACAUGAGAGUUUGCAUAUACACCUUCUUCUAGAGUAUUGCCAAUUAUAAUGAAGAUGUAGAACUAAAUAAUGUUAUUAAUUUAAAAGAGAAUGAUGAGAGAGAAUCUAAUUUUGAAGACCAUUUAGACAAAAUGAUGGAUUCGGGAUCAAUCUUAAUUAAUACACUUGGAAGUGAAAAUACUGGUCUUGAAAAUAUUGAAAUAUAAAGAAACAAAAGAGGGUAGACUCAUCAGUUGAUUGUACAUCAAAGAAAAGAAAAUGCUCUAAAGGAAAGAAGGCUUCUAAUGCUACACAAGUGUCUAAUACGGUUAAUGAACUAAAAGAAACCAUAAAAGAAAGUAUGGUGAUGUGUGACCUUUUAGGAGAUCAUCUAGAUUGUUCUAUUGAAGAGAUCAUGAAAUAUAUACUUUCUAUUAGUAGAGGAAUGUGGUGAAUUUCAUUUUUUCUGCACACUUUUGUUUGACAAUAAGUCAAAAAGAGAGAUGUAUAAUAUUCUACAAGAUGCAGAGACAAAAUGAAAAUGGCUACAAUAUCAUUAUGUUAUUUGGACUAACGGUUUAUAGAAGCCAAGUACAUAAUACAUUACUUGGCAAACACCUUUGACUUCUUUUCCCGUUUUAUCAUAAAUUUGAACUUUAGAAUAGUUUUUAUUUAUUCAUGUUUGAACUUUAAAUUUGAUGCAUUUUAGGUUUUUUUUUUACUUUGAAUUUAGAUUAUAUUAAAGGUUGAUUGUCAACUUUAAAUUACAUAUAUUAUAAUUAAUAAUGGAGUUGCAUUUUAUGUUUUUUUAAUAUUAUUUUUGUCAUAGAUAUGGAUAUUAUACAAUACAUAUUUCUUAAUGAUGAUGGCGAUGAUGAUCAAGUAUUGGAAACGCUAAUAUUUGCUGUUCAAAAUGCAUGUCAAUAUUAUUUGAGACAUAUUCAUAAAGAACCUUGUGUGGAUUCAUUUCAAAUAGAAAUUAUUUGGUUGUUUGAAGUAAUGAGAUGGAAUGAAAAAUGUUAUAUUAAUGUAUUCAGAAUGGAUAAAUAUUCAUUAAUAAAUCUUUGUCAAGACCUCGAAAGAAAUUACAGACUCAAUUCUUCAAGUAGAAUGUUUAUUUUGGAGAAAGUUGGAAUGUUUCUUUAUACUCUUGCUUUAGGUGCUUCAAAUAGGCAGUUCAAGAAUGAUUUCAACAUUCAAGUGAGACAGUAAGUAGAAAUUUUCAUGAAGUAUUAAAGGCAAUAUUGCGCUCCUCAAUUGAUAUAAUAAAGCCUAAAGACUCAACAUUCAAUACUAUUUCUCCUGAAAUACUUGAUGACGAUAGGUAUAUGCCUCAUUUUAAGGUAUUUCAAUAUCAUAUUUUUUAUUGUAACUUUUACAUAUGAUAAUAUCUGAUGAUUUUUUUUGGGUCAAAAUAAGAUUGUAUGGGCGCAAUUGACAACACUCAUAUAAAUGAAGCACCGGCUUCUGUUAAUAAGGAAUCCAAAUUAGAUUCAUUGGUAGGAAAGGCGUGUGUACAUAAAAUAUUAUAGCUAUUUUUAGUUUUGAUAUGCAAUUUAUAUUUGUACUAGCUGGAUGGGAAAGGUACAACUCAUGAUGGGCGACUUUUUCAAUUUGCAAUUCAUAAGAGAUAUUUGAAUUUUCUCAAACCACCACUUGGUAAAUAUUUAUUGAAUAAUAUCUUUUAAAGUUCUUUUAUAAAAUAAUUUUUAGAUGCAAAUUAUACGUAUGCGCACUAGAUAUGUCUUUUUAUUAUAUACUUUUAGCAUGUGAUUAUUAAGAUAUAUUUAUUAUUAUAUGUAGGGAAAAUACUAUUUAGUAGAUGUUGGAUAUCAACAAAUAGAAGGAUAUCUUGGACCUUAUAAAGGAAUAAGGUAUCAUUUACUUGAUUUUCAACGUGGUGGUAACCCAAAGGCUUUCAAGAGACUUUCAACAGUUGGCAUUCAUCUCUUAGAAGUUGCAUUAAUGUCUACAUACCCAUUUCAUAUACAAAGGGAUAUUGUAAGUGCAUCUAUCACAAUCUAUAAUUAUAUUCGAAGAAAAGCAUUGGCAAAUCCAGCAUUUGUUCAAUUGGAUCAAAAUCCUAAUUUUAUGCCACCUGAUAUAUUUGGCAAUACAGAUGACACACAUCCAGAAGAAACUCAACCAGAAAUCCUAAUUCAAACUCAAUCCUAAAAGCUAAACGUUAAAGGACUUCUAAAAACCAAUUCAAAUGCUAUUGAAACGACCUGAAAAAAAUUUUUUUCAAAAAAAUUUUCAUUUAAAAAUUUAAUUGAAAAUUUUAACCAAUGAAAUUUAGCAAAAAAAAUAUUUUAUUAUUGCUAAACCAAACCUGUAAGCCGGUUUGAAUUUUCCGAAACCAAGUGAAAAACCCGUAAAUCAAGCAAGAACCGAACUAAACCAUUGAGUUGGACCAAACUGGUUCGAAUCGAACUGAAAUAGUCUAGAAACCCCCUUUUUUUCCUUUUAUCUUCCUCUUUUUCUUCUCGCGCACGCGCCGCUCACCUCUCUCCCUUUCUCUCCUCGUUUUCGGCCACUGCUCAAUAGGAGUAAGGUGGCGACCGGCCUCCUUUUAGCACGGGUGGAACCUCCGCCUUCCCUCAAUGACAUAGUUAUGAUUUUCGGGCAAUACCAGGUGACUCUGGCGACUUGAGGCUUCAAAGCGAGUCUCGAUCGACUCAACUCCACCACGCGAACAUUUCUCCUCCAUAAAGUCCGAUGUUUGGCUCAGUCUCAUGAAAACGCCAUUGAAGGCGGCGGUGCAAUGGCUGUUGAGCUUGAUUCCGGCCAACUGGCUCGCCAAACUCAUAAACAGAUGAUGGAUUUGAGCUCCUUCUAAAAUUUCGAGUCAGGUGAUGGAAUUCUUGUAAAUUUCUGGGCAGGAUCAACUCUCCAACCACCUUCAACAGCGGUGUCGGCGGAGGUCCGGUGACCGGCCGGCGAGUCUCCAGCGAGGCCCUACGAGGCAGAAUCAUCUUCUCCUCGUGUUGAUCGUGAAAUUAGUCCAAUUUUCAAUUGGUACGUUCUAAGACCUAGUUCCUCAUUUUUUUUAGUAUAAAUUCCAAAUUUUAAACUAUAAGUUGAUUGCGAUUAAAUAAGUAAUCGAAUACGAUUCUUGUUAGGGAACCUCGAUAGAUAAAUAAACUUAAUUCAUAAAAAAAUUUUAGAAUACAAGUCAUUUAGAAUGAUUGUUAUGAAUAAAUUAUUUAAUUUUCGACGCGUCAUGUAGCUAGGUAAUUAAUUUCCAACCAAUCUCAGUAUAUUUUACGAAUUCCUUGUUGAUUAAUGAAUUUGUUAAACUGUGGGCUAUAAGUUUAAGUUAGAAUUUAAGAUUUCUAAGAAAUGGUAGCUACUACAGGACUGAUUCUUAUAAAUUUGGACUAAUAAAGACCAAGUAUGAGUGUGUUUUAUUUUUCUUUAAGAUGAUAUGAACUAAGUCUAUAUUGGAGGUGGGAAUAGGUUUUUCAUAAUUUGUUGUUAAUAUUAAAAGUUCUAAUGAUUAAGAUGGAAUAAAGUGAGAAUUAUUUGUAGUAGCAAAAUGUAUUUUGUUAAUCUCUUGAACUAUGGCUUUUAAUAUUGAGUUUAAGAUUUUUGAAAGUGGGUUUGUUGAGUAAGAGUAAUAAAUGAUAAUCGUUAAUUGUUGGUAUUGUCGUGCAAAGGAGGACGGGCAUUUGAUUUGAUUGAUUACUCGAUGGAUGGGCUGUAUGGAUUGAAUGAACAUAUAGAGAGUAUUUGCCACUAUCUUGGCAGGCAAAAAUUCCUAUUUUUAGGGGACGUUCUUCCGAAAUUUCGAUAAAAGCUAUGCUAGUUAUAUUUAAUGAUUAAGUUAAUAGGCUUAUUCUUUAACUCGAUAUAUUUAAAAUAUUAUUCGAUUCAAUUCUUUCCUCUCCUUUGAAUGCCAUUUCGUUUGGAUCACUCUAGCUUGUUCACUGCUUCAACAGGUUAGGACCCAAAAUUAGAGUGUUUUUCCCAUUUAGCAAUGUAGGUACUGAUAAAUAGUAUUUACCAUUUGCAUCCUACAUAAAAUCAUUUCUAUAUAGAGUUUUGUCUUUAAUUAUUUGUUUAUUUAUUUAUUUAUUAUUUAUAUAUUUAUAUAUUUAUUUUGAAUUGGUAUAUGAGUGUCUAUUUGCGCUCUUGCAUGACAAUGUUUAAUUAUUUAUUAUGCUUGCAUUUGAUUGCAUUAUUUAUUAUUUGUGAUGUGACAUUUAUUUGCCUUGUUUGCGUGGAAUUGGGAUGAAGUGGGUCAACAUGAGUUUGUGAGGGUAGUCUUCGAUACCGUCCAUGUAUGGGGAUAUCGGCGCCCCCGUGUGCAUCUGAUGAUAUGGAUUAUAUGGAAAACCACAGGGUGGUCUCCUGUUGGUAUGAAAAGAAAAAAGAGUAUAAAAAAAUGAUAGGGUUGGUCACGUGAGGAUUAGGCCUGUCGACCAUGUAUGGGGAUUGGCUCAUUGGUGCACAUGUCGUGAGAGGAUGGGCCAUGUGUGAGGAUGGCUCAUCGGGGAUUUCGGUGACGCCACUAACCAAUUUCGACUUGUUUAAUUACCUUAAGGUGUAAUUAUUUGUGGAUGCUGAUGUUGUGCCAUAUGAUUGACCAGCUGUGUAUUCAUUUUAGUACUUUGGGAAGCAUUUUAUGGGAAUGCUUGUGUUAUACAAUAAUUACUAUUCAUUAAUAAACUCACAUUUCUUUUGUUUAACUUUUCCAGAAAGUAGAUACUUCUUUGUCCUGGCUAAAGCUCUGUUUUCUUCACUGCAGAGCUAGAAAAGAAAUUUUCUAAUUUCAAUAAUUAUUUUAUUAUAUAGCUAUAUGUAUGAGAAUUUAAUUAUAUCUAUCUGUUAGUGGACUUAACAGUUGUAGGAUUGUAUCCAAUAAAUUUAGAUGGAUGUUUAGUUAUUUAUUUAUGUGAAUGCAUGAACUAGUUAGCCCAUAUUAUAAAUUGGGCCGGAGCUAUACAAUGUUUAAGAUGCUAGAUUUGGUCUAGAGUAUAAUAUAAUUAUGAGAUUUAUUAUGUACGACAAUAUGGGUUAAUUGUUUGAAAUUCAUAUUUAUAUGGUUGAAUUCUAGUGGUUCAGACUUACUACGGGUCUCGGAGCCUUAUGCUUAACUGUGCCCUAAUGCCGAUCUGGCUCAUAGUUUCGAGGUCGUGACAGCUAUGUUAUCAAAAACUAUAAAAAAUAGCGUUUAACGUUUUGACUGGUCAAAACACUAAAAGUUAUUUAAAAAGUUAUUGCCGAACACAACUUAAGGAUAUUAUAUGAUAUAUAAAAUUUCACUAAUGACAUUUUUAAAAAGCCAUUAUUCCUUUCAUUUUCACAUUUAUAUAUGCUAUAAAUAUAUUAUAGCUAGAUAGAUUAUGUAUGAGAAAAUUCUACAAAUAACAUAAUAAAAUACUGCAACUGAAAAAUAUAAUUAAGUUGUAAAUUAAAAUAUGAAAUAAUAUGCGAAAUAAUAUUAGGAGAGGAGAAAAACAUAUUAUAUAUAUUAGAAAUCCUCUUCUAUAUUUAAAGUUUUUCAAAAUAUUAUAUUUAUUAUUAUGUUAUUCUUUUAAUAUUGUGUUAUUUUUUUUAUUAUUGUGUUAUUAGUAUUAUUAAGACGUCUUUAAAAAAAAAAAAAAAAGAAGAAUUAUCUGAUUCAUCACCAAUACAUGAAGCAUGGGUGUAUUAAUGUAGGCAUGGCCGGUUCAUUGAAUUGCUGGUUCCGGUUUACGAAACUGACAAUUCAAAAUUUUUAAAAUGUUGAACCUGAAUCGGCCCUUGAACCAUCGAUUCCUGGUCCAAUUUUGGUUUUGGCUGGUUUCGGUGCAGUUCCGAUGAACCAAAGGUUCCGAUCACGAUUUUCGGUGAUAUAUGUUUUUUUAUUUAAAAAAUCGGUUCUAAUAUUACAUCUUUCUUUCAAAAAUAUUAAUAUGAGUUUUAAAAAUAUUGGUAAAUUUUAUUUUAAAUAAAUUGUAGAAUGCUCAUACUCAUAUAAGAAUAAAAUUUAUUAAUUUUACAAAAUAAUCAAAUAAAUUAUCACUUUAUUUUGUUUAAAUGUUAUUAAUUAAAUAAAUUAUAAGAAAAUUUUGAAAAAUGCUUAAUGUAAUUUUAAACUCAGUAAAUAAUUUAAACGGGUAAAAAAAAGAGUUAAAAAUAAUAUAAGUUUAGACUAAAUAUUUCUUUCUUUUUUUACCAUUUUAUUUUUUAGAUGUUUAACUUUUAAAGUGAAGUGCAUUUAAAAAAAAAAAAAUCUUAAGUAAAGUAUAUCAUGUAGUAAAAUAUUAUUGAAAUUUUUAGAGAUGUAUAAAAUAGGCUGAAUGAUUAUCAUUUUGAAAAUAAAAAUAGAAAAUUUCUAGUUCGAACCGGACCAGAAUCGCUGGUUAACCGCUGGUUCAAGACCGGUUCAGGUUUAAAUUUUAAUAGUCACAUAAAUCUUAAUCGGCCCUUGAACCGCCAGUUUUAGUUCAAAACUUUGAACCUAUGAUUCCAAUUUGAUUUUUAUUUUUUACAGUACGGUUUGAUUCUGGUUCAAAGUAAAUCGGUGGCCAUGCCUAUAUUAAUGUGCUUAAUAUAUUAUAUAUUCAAAAAUAUUUAAUAUUUUUCUUUUUGAGGAAAAAAAAUCUAAAUAGCAGCACUCAUUUCCCAUACAACGGUGUGCCAUUUAAGUAACCCUCAAGUUACCCUCUCUUUAGUCCCAAGCGGACAAGGUACUUUAAUUUUAUUUUGCACUUUCUCUCUUUCCCCAUCAAUUCAGCACUUCUUUAUUCAAGAUCUACUCUAUUCUUUUAUUUAUUUAUUUAUUUAAUGUCAAUUCUUAAAGAUUCAUAAAUCACCCUCUUCAUCUUCUAAUUUACAUAAUUACCUCAACCUGUUUAUCUUUAUCUCGCGUAAACCCGAGGAGCACCAUUGUCAUUUAAUAUUCUUGACAUGACAGAUACACAGGUAGAAGAAAGAGAAACUUCACUCCAUUUCCCAGUUUUGUCCCUUGUACCACCUGAUACGUGCCGUUGGUAUAGGGGCAUUAUUGUCUUUCGGAUUUGAAAUUUGAACCGAAUGACAGUAGGGGCAUUUAAGUCAUUUGACAAUUAUAAAGAGAGAGAUAGAGAGAGACAAGAAAAAAGGGCAGAAAGAGAGAGAAAGAGAGCAGGGGUGUAUGUGUGAGAGAGAGAAUUGUUUGUGUCCGUUUUUUCUGUUAAAUAUAUGUUAAACAGAUAGAGAAGGCGAUGGUGUCGGACCAGGAAUUAGCGAAAGGGAUAGAGACUGUGCUCCGUCAGUCAGACCCGAACGCCGUGACCUCCAUAGACGGCGUCGUUCAGCAACUCGAAGCGAAGCUAGGGUUAGACCUGUCUCAUAAAGCUGGCUUCAUUCGUGACCAGAUCAGCCUCUUGCUCCGGUCACAUCCGACGACAGUAACAACAACAACAACCACCGCAACCGCCUUACCUGUCACACAACCACUGCACCCACUUCCACAUCCACAAAUUCAACCACAAACCUUCCACCUUACACCGAAAGACCAUUUUGCCCUCCAACAUCACCCGCAAUUCCAACAAUUUCCUCCCCAUUUUGCCCUCUAUACUCAACACCAGCAGCAACAACACCACCACCAACAGCAGCAGCAGAUUUUUCCUCAGGACCUCAACUUCCGUCAGCCACAGGCGCCACAUCCUUCGCAGCAGCAGCAACAUCCGCAGAGGCAGCAGCCACCGCCCGUCGCCAAAACACAAUUCAAAAUUUUUAAAAUGUUGAACCUGAAUCGGCCCUUGAACCAUCGAUUCCUGGUCCAAUUUUGGUUUUGGCUGGUUUCGGUGCAGUUCCGAUGAACCAAAGGUUCCGAUCACGAUUUUCGGUGAUAUAUGUUUUUUUAUUUAAAAAAUCGGUUCUAAUAUUACAUCUUUCUUUCAAAAAUAUUAAUAUGAGUUUUAAAAAUAUUGGUAAAUUUUAUUUUAAAUAAAUUGUAGAAUGCUCAUACUCAUAUAAGAAUAAAAUUUAUUAAUUUUACAAAAUAAUCAAAUAAAUUAUCACUUUAUUUUGUUUAAAUGUUAUUAAUUAAAUAAAUUAUAAGAAAAUUUUGAAAAAUGCUUAAUGUAAUUUUAAACUCAGUAAAUAAUUUAAACGGGUAAAAAAAAGAGUUAAAAAUAAUAUAAGUUUAGACUAAAUAUUUCUUUCUUUUUUUACCAUUUUAUUUUUUAGAUGUUUAACUUUUAAAGUGAAGUGCAUUUAAAAAAAAAAAAAUCUUAAGUAAAGUAUAUCAUGUAGUAAAAUAUUAUUGAAAUUUUUAGAGAUGUAUAAAAUAGGCUGAAUGAUUAUCAUUUUGAAAAUAAAAAUAGAAAAUUUCUAGUUCGAACCGGACCAGAAUCGCUGGUUAACCGCUGGUUCAAGACCGGUUCAGGUUUAAAUUUUAAUAGUCACAUAAAUCUUAAUCGGCCCUUGAACCGCCAGUUUUAGUUCAAAACUUUGAACCUAUGAUUCCAAUUUGAUUUUUAUUUUUUACAGUACGGUUUGAUUCUGGUUCAAAGUAAAUCGGUGGCCAUGCCUAUAUUAAUGUGCUUAAUAUAUUAUAUAUUCAAAAAUAUUUAAUAUUUUUCUUUUUGAGGAAAAAAAAUCUAAAUAGCAGCACUCAUUUCCCAUACAACGGUGUGCCAUUUAAGUAACCCUCAAGUUACCCUCUCUUUAGUCCCAAGCGGACAAGGUACUUUAAUUUUAUUUUGCACUUUCUCUCUUUCCCCAUCAAUUCAGCACUUCUUUAUUCAAGAUCUACUCUAUUCUUUUAUUUAUUUAUUUAUUUAAUGUCAAUUCUUAAAGAUUCAUAAAUCACCCUCUUCAUCUUCUAAUUUACAUAAUUACCUCAACCUGUUUAUCUUUAUCUCGCGUAAACCCGAGGAGCACCAUUGUCAUUUAAUAUUCUUGACAUGACAGAUACACAGGUAGAAGAAAGAGAAACUUCACUCCAUUUCCCAGUUUUGUCCCUUGUACCACCUGAUACGUGCCGUUGGUAUAGGGGCAUUAUUGUCUUUCGGAUUUGAAAUUUGAACCGAAUGACAGUAGGGGCAUUUAAGUCAUUUGACAAUUAUAAAGAGAGAGAUAGAGAGAGACAAGAAAAAAGGGCAGAAAGAGAGAGAAAGAGAGCAGGGGUGUAUGUGUGAGAGAGAGAAUUGUUUGUGUCCGUUUUUUCUGUUAAAUAUAUGUUAAACAGAUAGAGAAGGCGAUGGUGUCGGACCAGGAAUUAGCGAAAGGGAUAGAGACUGUGCUCCGUCAGUCAGACCCGAACGCCGUGACCUCCAUAGACGGCGUCGUUCAGCAACUCGAAGCGAAGCUAGGGUUAGACCUGUCUCAUAAAGCUGGCUUCAUUCGUGACCAGAUCAGCCUCUUGCUCCGGUCACAUCCGACGACAGUAACAACAACAACAACCACCGCAACCGCCUUACCUGUCACACAACCACUGCACCCACUUCCACAUCCACAAAUUCAACCACAAACCUUCCACCUUACACCGAAAGACCAUUUUGCCCUCCAACAUCACCCGCAAUUCCAACAAUUUCCUCCCCAUUUUGCCCUCUAUACUCAACACCAGCAGCAACAACACCACCACCAACAGCAGCAGCAGAUUUUUCCUCAGGACCUCAACUUCCGUCAGCCACAGGCGCCACAUCCUUCGCAGCAGCAGCAACAUCCGCAGAGGCAGCAGCCACCGCCUGUCGCUAAACCUGAGGUCUACGCCCAAAAUGCUGCCGCUGUCCCUUCUG
rnacentral:lncRNA from 1 species